GACGAACGCUGGCGGCGUGCUUAACACAUGCAAGUCGAACGGAAAGGCCCUGCUUGCUGGGUACUCGAGUGGUGAACGGGUGAGUAACACGUUUGUGAUCUGCCCUGCACUUCGGGAUAAGCCUGGGAAACUGGUUCUAAUACCUGACAGGAGCCAUUUCUCCUGUGAUGGUUGGAGAGUUUUUUCGGUGUAGGAUGAGCUUGCGGCCUAUCCGCUUGUUGGUGGGGUAAUGGCCUACCAAGGCGGCGACGGGUAGCCGGACUGAGAGGGUGGACGGCCACAGUGAGACUGAGAUACGGACAAGACUCAGACGGGAGGGAGAAGUGGGGAAGAGGGAAAAAGGGGAGCAAGCGUGAGGCAGAGACGCCGAGUGGGGGAUGACGGCGUUCGGGUUGGAAUCGCCAUGCGCUAGGGACGAAGCUGUUAGUGACGGUACCUAGAGAAGAAGCACCGGCUAACUACGUG
rnacentral:rRNA from 1 species